rnacentral:rRNA from 2 species
UGGGGAAUAUUGGGCAAUGGGGGAAACCCUGACCCAGCAACGCCGCGUGAAGGAAGAAGGUUUUCGGAUUGUAAACUUCUGUCCUUGGGGAAGAAAGAAAUGACGGUACCCAAGGAGGAAGCCCCGGCUAACUACGUGCCAGCAGCCGCGGUAAUACGUAGGGGGCGAGCGUUGUCCGGAAUUACUGGGCGUAAAGGGUGCGCAGGCGGCUUGCCAAGUCAGAUGUGAAAUACCCGGGCUUAACCCGGGGGGUGCAUUUGAAACUGGCGGGCUUGAGUGCAGGAGAGGAAAGCGGAAUUCCUAGUGUAGCGGUGAAAUGCAUAGAUAUUAGGAGGAACACCAGUGGCGAAGGCGGCUUUCUGGACUGCAACUGACGCUGAGGCACGAAAGCGUGGGGAGCAAACAGG